GCAGCAGCAGCCGGAGCCGGGCGGGCAGGGGCGGCGCAGCGCCGGGAUGGCCGUGGCGGUGGAGAGACCCGCGAAUGACGAGCUUCGAAACCUGUCCCUCUCCGGUCAUGUGGGCUUUGACAGUCUUCCAGAUCAGCUGGUCAACAAAUCAACCUCUCAAGGGUUCUGCUUCAACAUUCUUUGUGUUGGUGAAACUGGCAUUGGCAAGUCAACCUUAAUGGACACUCUGUUUAACACAAAGUUUGAAAGUGACCCAGCCACCCACAACGAGCCCGGUGUGAGGUUGAAAGCAAGAAGCUAUGAACUCCAGGAGAGCAACGUCCGUCUGAAGCUGACCAUUGUUGACACAGUUGGAUUUGGAGAUCAGAUUAAUAAAGAUGACAGCUAUAAGCCCAUAGUCGAAUAUAUCGACACUCAGUUUGAAGCCUAUCUGCAGGAGGAGCUGAAGAUCAAGCGUUCCCUGUUUAAUUACCAUGACACAAGGAUUCACGCCUGCCUAUAUUUCAUCGCACCAACGGGACACUCGCUGAAGUCUCUAGACCUGGUCACUAUGAAGAAGCUCGACAGUAAGGUUAACAUUAUCCCUAUAAUAGCCAAAGCUGAUACGAUUGCAAAAAACGAGUUGCAUAAAUUCAAGAGUAAAAUCAUGAGCGAGCUGGUCAGCAAUGGUGUCCAGAUCUAUCAGUUCCCGACAGAUGAAGAGACAGUGGCUGAGAUAAAUGCUACAAUGAGCGUCCAUCUUCCAUUUGCUGUUGUUGGCAGCACUGAAGAAGUGAAGAUUGGCAAUAAGACGAGCAAGGCCAGGCAGUAUCCAUGGGGGGUUGUGCAGGUUGAAAAUGAAAACCAUUGUGACUUUGUGAAGCUGCGUGAGAUGCUGAUCCGAGUGAACAUGGAGGACUUGAGAGAGCAGACGCACACCCGGCACUAUGAAUUGUACAGGCGCUGUAAGCUAGAAGAAAUGGGAUUCAAAGACACUGACCCUGAUAGUAAACCAUUCAGUCUCCAGGAAACCUAUGAAGCGAAGAGGAAUGAAUUCCUGGGUGAGCUGCAGAAGAAGGAGGAAGAAAUGAGACAGAUGUUCGUCAUGAGAGUGAAGGAGAAAGAAGCGGAGUUGAAAGAAGCGGAGAAAGAUCUCCAUGAAAAGUUUGACCAUCUCAAGCGGACACACCAAGAAGAGAAGAAAAAAGUGGACGACAAAAAGAAGGAGCUUGAGGAGGAGCUGAGCAACUUCCAGAAGAAGAAGGCAGCCGCUCAGCUGCUACAGUCACAGGCUCAACAGGCUGGUUCCCAACAAACCAAGAAAGACAAGGACAAGAAAAAUGCAAGCUUCACAUAAAGCCUGGCAAGCCAAGGAUGUUCCUGCAUUCACCUGCUUUUGCAGUAACGCGUCUCUUCCAUCUGUUUGGGUUUUGUUUUAAACACAAAUAACUAUUAACUCAUUUAAUAAUGGAGUGGGUGGGAGAAAGGUGGGUGAAGCAGUGAGCAUCUGGAAAUUGAAGGGCGGGGGGUGUUUUUGUUUGGAAAGUUGAUGCCAUUUCUCUCUGGUAAGAACAGCCACAAUAGAUCAGACCUGCCACUUGGCUUUGAAUUGAGAGCAAGACUUGUGCGUCAUUGGCUUGAUCCAAGGCCACUUAAAGAGAUUGGAAGGGUUUUGCUGCUGUUACUCGUUUGCACACACUGCUCUCAACAGGCCACACUGAGAGUCCCCUUACUCGCACUGAAUAGCACAAGUACUGCCAUGGAAAUCUGAAGUGAGUUACUAUUCAGUGUGAAUAAGAUCAGUGCAAACUUAGCCAGAGUCUCCCCAGUGUAUUGCUAACCCCAGACGUCCACUUAAAUGAGUGUUUCUUUGAUAGCUGACUUGUAAGACUGUAGAAAUCCCAUUGUUAGGUUUUUGUGUGUGUAGGUAACAAAAGAGCAACUGACCUUGCAUGCUUAUUCUUGCAUGAGUUUUUUACCUUAUGGAUAAUGACUUUUGGCCUGGCUUUUUGUUAUUCACCCAACGGGUUAAAUAUUUUUGCAAUAACUCUUCUCUAUUAAGUGCUGUGGCUAACCACUAAAAGCUGUACAGUGUGCAUCAAAAGGAGCUGCAAAUUCCCAAGACAGGAGGUUUUCCCCCCUCUAUUGCUUUGAAAUCAAGAGUCCCUCAUCAAAAACUAACCAGGUGACCGAAACCCAUCCCAAAACUUGAAUACACUUUCCACAGAUUGCCUGGGUAAAAGAGUCAUCCAGCAAACGCAUAAGUACAAGCGUAACUUUACUCAUGCAAUAUAGUUCAGUUGACUUUAGUAGAAGUCCUUAUGGGAGUAAAUGUUUGCACAUGCUUAUGUGGUUGCAGGAUCAGUCUUGGAAUAUAGUGUCUUCUGUUGGUAAGUGCCAGUGAACCAUUAAAGGAGUAAAUUAAAACUCCAUUAACUUCAGUUACUCUGUGCUCCUAAAGUGGAGAAUAUGGCUGUUCACUCUUUACCGGGCUAAGAUGUAGCUUAUCUUGCUUGACAAAGGCAUAAUAAAGGUAACAUCAAUGCACUGAUCAGCUUUGCGCAGCCGGCUAAGGCUUGGGAUGCAAACAAUAAUUUGCAUUUAAAAACGGUGACUGAACAUCUAGCAUAAGCCAGGCCUUUUUUUAGGGCGUACUUGGUGUGAAAAUUGACCUAACUGUUUAAUUUGUAUUUUCUAUGCCAUUCCUUUUCGGACAGAGUGUUUUCCUUUCUGAUACAUUCCAAGAAGUGGCGACCCAUGUUUACCCUCUGACUUCUGGAUUUCUUUCUCUACUGCUGAUGUUCUGCCAGCUUCCCCUCUGCUCCUAGCUAGGUAGUCUCCUGUUUCUUUCUUUAAAGCACUCUUGAAAUUAACCCUCUUCACCUGAUCCCACACAUUCCAACUUUGCUUGUUUCUACCCAAGCACAGGGGUCAUGUAACUACAUUCACAAAGGCAGGUUUGUGGGGGGUUGUUUUGUGUUCUUCCCCCCCCCCCCGGCGUAAACAUGGCUCUUAGGGGAGGGGAAAGGGUGGCUGGACAAACUGCAUAAAUUUAAGCAGAGGAAAAGCAGGGAAGAAACUAUUUUGAAAUUCAAGCUAAGUUGUCAUGUGAACAUCACAAUCAUUGGAAGGACUGACAGUUGCAGUAGCCAGGUUAAAUAGCAGUAAAAAUCCGAGAUCCUUGCAGUUUUGCUUCAGCUUAACCUUACAAACUCACUUGGUAUUGAACACAUGAAACCAGUUUCCUAACCAUGGGCUGCAUUUGAUCAUGCACUAUGCUCAAGUUUGAAGCUUGUGUAGCGUGCUUCCAUCAGCUGUGUCUGUGUGUGUCCUAUUUUUAAUUAACACGGGGGGGGGGGGGGUUGUGCCAAGUAAGAGAACUUAAUUUUAACAUUAGUUUCUCCUGCUCAGUUUAAAAACCCUUUCAAGGGAAGCUUGGCAGAGAAAAUUAGUUGAGACUAGGUGUUUUUAUUUUGGACACAAAGCUGUUGCCAAUGUAUUAAAUGCUGGGGGGAGGGAUUGGUUUGUUUCCCUUUUUAGCAAAGAACCAUCGUUUUGGAGAAGCCGGGAAUAAAAUUUAAACUUACAAAUUUUUUUUUUUUUUUCCCAAUGGCGCACUAAGAUUUAAGAAUCCCUGGGCCAUGUUUAGCUUGUUACUGCUGCACUUCUCUCCUUUCUGUAUCUAUGCCUUUUUUCACAGUAGUCCCUGGCUCUGCACGGAAUAAGUGAUCCCCUCAAAUCUAGUUGGAUGUGCUUUCUUUCACCUUUGCAUCUUCUUCUUUAUGUAACGGUCACCUUGCCAAGCCCCCACUCCCUUUCUCCUAAUGGGCACUAGAAGAGCCAGCGGGAAAUGUACGCACCCGUUGGGAGAAGAGUUACCUCAUUCUUCUAUGAGCUCCGCCUUGCUCUUUAAAGCGUGGGUCAGGGAAGUACGUAGCUGUAAGGGUCUGUUUGCUCCCCAGGGCUGACCAGUAUGUCAACUCCAGGAUUUUUGUUACCACCAAGAGAGAGAGAAUAAGUGGACUAGAGAACUUGGAUGCUAUCACAGAUAUGACAUUGGGAACUUUUUUCUUUUGCCAUCACCUGCACACGGCUGUCAAUUAAAUAAGAAGCUUAUUGACCACGGACAGAAUGAGUGUCCAAUAAUAAGCGAUGAUUGCUGAGUAGUAGACUUAAGCUAGCACCAACUCUAACCCUCUCUGACAAACCACCUGAUCUGGCUACUCUGAAAGCCGUGCAGUCAUGAGGCGUAUGCUCCUGUGCAUUUUAAACCACUUAUUAAAAACAGUUCCUUGGACAGGGAUCACUAUUUUUCAGUAUUAAGUGGCAUGAGCAGAGAGAGCUGCUAUUUGAUACUGUUGUGUUGAUGGAAUUUGUUCAGUUGUUUUCAGCUGAUCUUCUGCCUCUUCAUGUGCAAAAUGGGAUCUUUUACUAUGAAGUCCAGCCACACAGAUCGCUGUCUGAGGAGAAGACUAUUUUUAACUAUGUGACGCCCAUCCAGUAAUGUUUACAUCCUUGAUGUUGUCUUGCUGUGGGACAUGUGUAUAACUUUCACUUGUUUACUUCAGAAGCAGAUUCAACAGCGAAGAGCUUGAAAAGUGCCAAAAACUUGCUAAAAACAAAGUAAGCUUGUAACGUAUUUUACACAUGCAAGUCGAGUGCCCUCUAGUGUCAGUGGGCUCUGUUCAUUAUGAUCCUCAUUUUAGGUGUAUUGGGGGGGAGUUUUUCUAAUUACUUGCUGCCCAGCAGUGGAUGUUCAUUGCUCCUGACCACACCUCAUUUCAGUGUGGAGUGACAAAGGGAAUGCAGAGUAUUUUAUGUUGCCUCCUUUCUUGUUUACAGAAUAAAAGGCACCAUCGUUCCCAAACUUGCUUACAUGCUUUUUCAGACUCCUGCUGCUGGAGAGAGGGCUGGGCUUAGAGUGACAAAACAACCAUUUCUUCAAUCUGAUUAAGUGGAUUUGUGCUUAUACGUCAAGGAAAUAUUUAGAUCAGCCUUACAAAAUUAUGUUUACCAUUUCUGGUAUUCAAUUUAAUUGGGUGAACUGUACUCUCCUCCUGAAGGAGUGGGAGAAGAAUUUUGCAAUAGUCAAAGAUAGGGAGAAAACUUGAGUAUGGCGUUAAGGCCC